rnacentral:lncRNA from 1 species
AUGUAUGUGCAGCAAUGGGCAUGUUUGGUGUCAGAAGAGGUUUUGGUUAUUGGGAUCUUGAACCUGUCUGUCUCCACCCACCAAAACUGGAGUUACAGGUAUAUGAAGCCAUGCCUGGUUGUUUCUGUGCGUAGGGAUGCAGAAUUCAGGUCCUCUUGAUAUCAUAGCCAGCACUUUUACCUGCUGAGGCACCUCUCUGAUGUCAAACUGACUUUUAAAAUGACAAAUUCACUCUCAAAGUAACCCACUAAUCAAUCUAUGAGGGGCAGUGCCCUUUGACCUAAUCACAUCUUAGAAGGUCCCACUUGGUCCUACAUACCACUCCACAAUGAAGAAGUUAAACCAUACAGGCGUAAUGUGAUAUUUUAGGCUGGAUUGUUUUUUGUUGUUUUUUUUUUUUUUCCUAACACUAUGUUUCUCUGUGUAGUCCUGCUUGUCCUAGAGCUCUCUAUGUAGACCAGGCUGACCUCGAAUCCAGAGAUCCACCUGUCUUGGCCUCCCAAAUGCUGGGAUUAAAGGUAUGCAGCAGUAUGCCCAGUUGGAUUUUAUUUUUAAAACAGUGUGUCCUGUAUCCCAAGCUGGUCUAGAUUUCCUUGCCAAGGAAAGGAAGGAUGACUCUGCACUUCUGACCUCCUGUCUCCACUUUCCUCCUGAGAGUUGGGAUCACAGGUUGACUAGACUUCCCAAAGAACCAUCUCUGGAGGAUGAAGUCCUAGUAGUUUAUAUCCUGGAAGAAAUGUGGCAGAAGGCUUCAGCAUCAGUGUACAUACUGCUGUUUAUUUAUUUAGUUUUUGGUGCUGGGCCUGGUACCCGGGGCUUUCUGUAUAUCAGGCAAGUACACUAUCCCAGGGCUCCAGCCCAGCCCCUGAAUAUUGCUUCACUUGCUUUGCUAUCUAUAUGGCCUUGCCCUUGAUGGUGCCUGGGUUUUUCUAUUGAAGAAACCUUUAUUUUUGCCAAUUUGGAAAAAAACCCAUCUCCUGCGGUUAGAAGUGGUCCUUCACUAGAAUUUGACACUGGGACCUCAAUCUUGCAGUUUUUUUUUAAAUGUUUAUUUAUUAUGUAUACAGUGUUCUGUCAGCAUGUUUUGCCUGCAUGCCAGAAGAGGACACCAGAUCUCAUUACAGAUGGUUGUGAGCCACCAUGUGGUUGCUGGGAAUUGAACUCAGGACCUCUGGAAGAGCAGCCAGUGCUCUUAACCUCUGAGCCAUCUCUCCCAACUCUUGCAGUUUUUUAACCAAUCACUUUUGCUUCCCUCUCUGCGAUUCCUUUUUAGAGUCACUUGAUGCCUCUGCCUCCUGAGUUCUGGGCUUAAAAGUAUAGGCUACCACUGUCUGAUGAGACCCUGUUUCAAAGGAACAAACAAAACUACCACCACCACCACCAACAAAACCAAACAAAACAAAGGGAGGAAAAUGAGAGAGACUGAAAGAAGAAAAAACCUUGGCCCCAGGUCACCAGAGUACAGGCAGAGAACAC